ACGAACGCUGGCGGCAGGCCUAACACAUGCAAGUCGAACGCUACAGCAAUGGAGAGUGGCAGACGGGUGAGUAACGCGUGGGAACCUUCCCAAUGGUACGGAAUAGCUCAGGGAAACUUGAGGUAAUACCGUAUACGCCCCAAGGGGGAAAGAUUUAUCGCCAUUGGAUGGGCCCGCGUCGGAUUAGCUAGUUGGUGAGGUAAUGGCUCACCAAGGCGACGAUCCGUAGCUGGUCUGAGAGGAUGAUCAGCCACACUGGGACUGAGACACGGCCCAGACUCCUACGGGAGGCAGCAGUGGGGAAUAUUGGACAAUGGGCGCAAGCCUGAUCCAGCCAUGCCGCGUGAGUGACGAAGGCCUUAGGGUUGUAAAGCUCUUUUGGCGGGGACGAUAAUGACGGUACCCGCAGAAUAAGCUCCGGCUAACUUCGU
rnacentral:rRNA from 1 species